rnacentral:rRNA from 1 species
UACGUAGGUGGCAAGCGUUGUCCGGAUUUAUUGGGUUUAAAGGGUGCGUAGGCGGUUUUGUAAGUCAGUGGUGAAAUACUCCAGCUUAACUGGAGGGGUGCCAAUGAUACUGCAGAACUUGAGUACAGAUGAGGUAGGCGGAAUUGACGGUGUAGCGGUGAAAUGCAUAGAUAUCGUCAAGAACACCGAUAGCGAAGGCAGCUUACUGGGCUGUAACUGACGCUGAGGCACGAAAGUGUGGGGAUCAAACAGGG